GGUCAUCGACAUUAAGAGUCUUUUAUCUUAAACGUUUUUUUAAAAAUGACUUAACGUCGUUUUUUAGUCAAAAAUAGUCUGAAUGGAAAUUUUCAUAACUCCCUAUCAGCAUUUUCCAUCCCAUUUUAUCCACUUUGUCAUGCAAAUCAGCCACUCCAACACGCCACAUAAUCAUUAGUCCUAAUCAUUAAUCAAACAAAAUAAAAAUAAUAAUAAAAUAAAAACCCAUCUCCCUUCAAGCUCUUCUUUCCCACUCUUCCCUUCCUGCAAAUCAGAAUUGCUGUUGCUAAAGGACGACCCGGUUCGAGCGAUUGAAUCUGAAAGCUGGAGAUUGGAUGGCUCAUCGCUUACUGAGAUGCCACUUCCACUGCCUCCAAAGAGGCGGUCGCGGUCGUCUUUGCUGAAUUUGGAAUCUGCGUCGUCGGCGACGGCGUGGUGGAAGGAGGAGGAGGAUGAGCUAGGGUUGUCGAUAGUGAGAGCGUCUUCCUGGAUCGGGAAAGUAUGGCCGAGUAAGGUGUUACGGAGUCGUCUUCCAGACGAGCCGUGGCGAUCUGGAUGGCGGAGUUGACUUUAUCUUGAAGCUGGUCUUGAACUCCUCCACCGCUGCCUCCGUCGGCGGCGGAGAUUGAAGCGGAGGACAUCGACUUCUGGAUUUCGUCAACUGCCUGUAGAUAGAGAUCCACUUCUUGACGGCCGCCGACAAACACCAUCUUCUUCCUUGCUUCCUCUGAUGCUGACGUGUCCCAUCUCAGUAUUAUCUUAUGCGCUUCUUCAAAAUCAAAGCCGCUGCUGUUGCUACUGCUACCCCACCGCUGCUCAUAUCCUCCGGUGACCCCAUGAACUUCAAUUGGCCAAAAAAAGUAAGCUUUCUCUGAACUGAAUCGGUCUGAUUUUCUGAUGAAAAAGAUCAACAAAAGAAUCAAACCCUUUUCUCUACCGUAGGAAUCCAGAAAAGGGUUACUGAGCAAAUCAAUGAAAGCUUCCGAAAUUCCGGUUAGGUGGCCGACGUCUGGGUAUGUGAUCAAUACUUCAAUCUCUCCACUGGUUUUUUAUUUAUUUUUUAUUUUUUAUUUAUUGAUUAAUGAUUAGGAUCAAUGAUAAUGUGAAGUGCUUCUGUGGUUGGUCCGUGUGACAAAAUAGACGGAAUGGGACAGAAACGUUGAUGGUGAGUUAGAAAAAUUUCGACUCAACCAUUUUGACUAAAAACAUCAGGUUAGGACAUUUAAAAAAACAUUAAAGAUAAAGGACUUUUAAUGUCGAUGAUCAUUUUUUACUAACUAACAAUUAAAUAACCAAUAUAAUUUUGACCGUAUAUAUCAUAAUAAUAGGCUUAUAAUACCUGAAUUUAUUUAUAGAAAUUUUGGGUGUGAAGUUUCGAAUGUGUAAUUAUUUUGAUAUCCUCUAUCAUUAACUCCGGAAUGGGCCGUGACAAGACAAUGGCCCAAUCCUUCCAAACUGCACACGUGACACUUGCAGCAAAAGAAGAAAAAUAUCAAUCAUCUGAUAAUAAAAUAAAAUAAUCACAACGGUAAGAAAAAUCUCUGCACACAAACUCGUUGACAGCCGCAGGAUUCCAAAUCAUUGCUGCACAUUUAAUCACUGGUUUAUCAUUCAUUCAUUAACCCUUUUCAAAUUUCCUCUCUCCCGACGGCCGACACGUUCGUUUGAAUCUAUGCAACCCGACACAGUUCUUCAUUUCCCCUUCCCAAACCAAGAGAUAGACAGACAAAGAGAGAGACUCAGAGAGAGUUCUAGACAGAAGAUUUGAUUUUUGAAUUCACGCCUAAUUUCAAAUUUUUGGCUGUUCCUUCUUGUCCCCUCUCUCUCUCUCUCUCUCUCUCUCUCUAUCGCUCUGCAAAGUUAUUUGUGAUAGAUUUCGGGGAUCAAACUGGGUUUUGGAUAGUUCAGAUUCAGCUCGAAGAUAUAAAGAGAUCGGAAAUCAAGCUAACCACGGCUUUCUGUAGAUAACAACAGUCCCUGAAGCGUAAGUGGGUAAGUGCUUUCUCUUUACAACUCUGCUUUCCCUUUUGCUUCUUCUAUAUAGCGAAACUAAUCAUUUUCAUCCAUUUAUUGUUUGC
rnacentral:lncRNA from 1 species